rnacentral:lncRNA from 1 species
AUAGAACUAAAGGUUGAUACAAUCUGCAUCAUAUUCACAAGGGGAAUUCUUACAUCUGAGAAUAGGUUUUCUCUGAAAAACAAAUUAGGCCAUAUUAUUAUAUUGAAUAUAGCCUACCUUAUACAAUAUGACCAAAUUUAGUUGAUAGAUAUUGCCUAACCUAUACAAUAUCACCAAAAGGAGUUGAUAGAUUAAGCCCUGUCAACGGCACUUACAUUAAUAUGACAAAGGAAAAUGUUUGCAAAUUAUUUGUUAUGCACAAUCAGAAGUACUCACUGGUCCUCCUGCAGAGAUAGACAGCUGUCAAUCCCAUCAGGAACACGCCCACUCCAGAAGCCAUACACACUGCUAUCUGCCAUAAUUGCACCGCUGUUUGGUGACAUGAUGUCAUCAGAAGAGGUCAUUAAUCCCAAAGUAAAUACUUAAAUGGUAAACCAUAUUAUUGUCAGUCUUAGAAAAUGUUUCUGUUUUCAUAUGUGUGAGAAAAGACAGCUAGUCAGCUAAACAUUUGACAUUUACAUUUAAGUAAUUUAGCAGACGCUCUUAUGCAGAGUGACUUACAUCAGUUAAUUCAUCUUAAGAUUGCUAGGUGAGACAACAACAUAUCACAAUCAUAGAAAGUUCCCUCAACAAAGUAGUUAUCAGCAAAGUCAGCGCUAGUAGGAACACACAAGUUAAUUUUUGCCGUGGAUUACUAAAUAAGGAUACUUAUCCGAAACCAUUUUUUUACACUUUGAAUUCACAACGCUGUCUUUGGAGCUUUGACAUCCUGUUUGCAAAUGUGUCAUAAAAAAAGUAUAAAUACAAAAACCUGGGUAAGAUAAAGGUAGUCUAUUUGUUUCAGUUUUGCUAACUAAAGAUGACUAACACCUGAUGUAGGAGAAGAAAAAAUGUCUUUCAUAUCUAAGAAAAGUUCAACAAUUUAGAGGGAAAGUACAAGCAGCGAUGAAUAGGUUUAUGAGUAAACCAGUUGGCGCUUCAGUAAAUUAGAGUGAACAAAAAUGAAAUAGCAACCUAAGCGAUACUUACUAGUUAUUGUCACUGUGAUGCCAGGGGUCAAAGUAGAAGUAUCAGUCUUUGGUGAAUUAAUGUGAACAAAAAUAUUCUAAUUACUAAGCUAAACUUAGGGCCUACUUACUUGUAGUUGGUCUCACUGUGAUGUCAGGAGCCAAAGUUAAAGGAGCAGUCGAAUCUGCUGGGAAGAAAUAAAAGGUGAUUUUAUAUCUGAUUACACAAGUAUAAAGGUAUUCAUUAUUCAUGUCAGAUAACAACAGAACUCAGUCAGUAGAGAGAUUACAUGUUCAGAAUUUCAUUAUAUGGCAUAUUAUUGUUAAAAUCUAGACCCUUGACUGAUUUGACAAUUGGAAAUAGUAUUUAAACGCCCACUCCAGAAGCCACAUCCACUGCUGCCAGCCAUAAUUGCACAGCUGUUUGGUGACAUUGGGAAGGUCAUUAGCUUGUAUCCCCAGGGUCAAUACUACAUCUCAAGAUUUGAUCAGAAUUUUAAUUGUGAGGUUGUAUGUCUCAGUUGUUUAAUUUGUGUAGGAAAAGACAAGUAGUCCGCUAGAGAAGUAUACUUACCCACAACACUGUCUGUGGAGCUUUGACCUCCUGUGUGCAAAUGUGUGAUUAAAAAAUCAAUUAAUACUGAAACCUGGUUAAGAUAAAGGAAGUCUAUUUGUUUCAGUUUUGCUAACUAAAGAUGACCGACACGCAUGAUGUAGGAGAAUAAAAAAUAUGUUUCAUAUCUAAGAAAAGUACAACAAUUUAGAGGGAAAGUACAAGCAGAUAUGAAUAGGUUUAUGAGUAAAUCAGUUGGAGCUUUAGUGAAUUCGAGUGAACAAAAAUGAAAUAACAAUCUAAGCGAUACUUACUAGUUGGUCUCACUGUGAUGUCAGGGGUCAAAGUAGAAGUAACAGUCAAACCUGCUGGAAAGUAAUACAAGUGAAUUCUGUAUCUGAUUACACAAGACAAAAGGUAUUCAUU